rnacentral:rRNA from 1 species
UACGUAGGGUCCGAGCGUUGUCCGGAAUUACUGGGCGUAAAGAGCUCGUAGGUGGUUUGUCGCGUUGUUCGUGAAAACUCACAACUCAAUUGUGGGCGUGCGGGCGAUACGGGCAGACUGGAGUACUGCAGGGGAGACUGGAAUUCCUGGUGUAGCGGUGGAAUGCGCAGAUAUCAGGAGGAACACCGGUGGCGAAGGCGGGUCUCUGGGCAGUAACUGACGCUGAGGAGCGAAAAGCGUGGGGGAGCGAAACAGG